AUUCCAGCUCCAAUAGCGUACGUUAAAGUUGUUGCGGCUAAAAAGCUCGUAGUUGGAUUUCUGUUGAGGACAUCUGGUCCGCUCUACGAGCGUGUAUCUAGUUUGGCCUCGGCAUCCGCUCUGCAUACGUUUCUGCGCUUGAUUGCGUGGAGCGGAGGUAGGGCCUUUUACUUUGAGGAAAUUAGAGUGUUCACGGCUGGCAGUCGCCCUGAAUAUAUUAGCAUGGAAUAAUAACAUAGGAUCUUGGUUCUAUUUUGUUGGUUUCUAGGACUAAGAUAAUGAUUAAUAGGGACAAUUGGGGGCAUUCGUAUCGCGGUGUCAGAGGUGGAAUUCUUAGAUUACUGCACGACGAACUACUGCGAAAGCAUUUGCCAAGGAUGUUUUCAUUG
rnacentral:rRNA from 1 species